rnacentral:rRNA from 1 species
UACGUAGGGUGCGAGCGUUAAUCGGAAUUACUGGGCGUAAAGUGUGCGCAGGCGGCAGAGCAAGUCGAGUGUGAAAGCCCCGGGCUUAACUUGGGAAUUGCGCUCGAAACUACUUUGCUGGAGUGUGGCAGAGGAAGGUGGAAUUCCACGUGUAGCAGUGAAAUGCGUAGAGAUGUGGAGGAAUACCGAUGGCGAAGGCAGCCCCCUGGGAUAACACUGACGCUCAUGCACGAAAGCGUGGGGAGCAAACAGG